AAAAAAUCUAUGAAAUGGUCGUUACAUACACAUGCUCUAGUAUACAUUGUGCUGACGAUAUUGCAACUUGACAUUUGUUUUUAUCACCCAUUCUACAGUCAUGGUUCUUGGCUGUUGACCCGGCUAUGAAGCUCCAGCAUUUCUUGAUGGUUUGGGUCAACCGAAAGAGCAGCUCGACAAUCCCGCAGAGCACCCAAAACAUCAUUAGUA
rnacentral:misc_RNA from 1 species